GCGCCUGUAGCUCAGCCUGGAAUCAAAGAGCAGGUCCGUCCUAAGGACAAGGUCGUAGGUUCAAAUCCUACCAGGCGCA
rnacentral:tRNA from 1 species